rnacentral:rRNA from 1 species
AUGCGCCGGACCUCAAGGCCGGUCGUGCUGCUCCUUUUGCAUGCGUCCUUCCCCGACAACGUCCCCAUGGCUAGGGUUUCGGAUGCGAUGGCGCCUCCAUCGAUGCAUAAGAACGUGGAGAAGAUCAGGGACAGGGCCACCUACGAGACCAUGGCGCUCAAGAAGAUCCACCUCCAGCAGGAGGACGAUGGCGUCCCCUCCACCGCCAUCCGCGAGAUCUCCCUCCUCAAGGAGAUGCAGCACGGCAACAUCGUCAAGCUGCACGAUGUUGUCCACAGCGAGAAGCGCAUAUGGCUCAUCUUCGAGUACCUGGAUCUGGACCUGAAGAAGUUCAUGGACUCCCGUCCAGAGUUUGCCAAGAGUCCCGCAUUGAUCAAGGACAGUGCCCAUUUUGCUGUUCACUUGGGCCACACUUAG